rnacentral:rRNA from 1 species
AUUCCCGACCUAUCAGCCGGGUGGUGAGGUAACGGCUCACCAAGGCAACGACGGGUAGCCGGCCUGAGAGGGUGACCGGCCACACUGGGACUGAGACACGGCCCAGACUCCUACGGGAGGCAGCAGUGGGGAAUAUUGGACAAUGGGCGAAAGCCUGAUCCAGCAACGCCGCGUGAGGGAUGACGGCCUUCGGGUUGUAAACCUCUUUCAGCGGGGACGAAGCGCAAGUGACGGUACCCGCAGAAGAAGCUCCGGCCAACUACGUGCCAGCAGCCGCGGUAACACGUAGGGGGCGAGCGUUGUCCGGAAUUAUUGGGCGUAAAGGGCUCGUACGCGGUCUGUCGCGUCGGGAGUGAAAACUCACGGCUUAACCCUGUUCGUGCUUCCGAUACGGGCAGACUUGAGGCAGGCAGGGGAGAACGGAAUUCCUGGUGUAGCGGUGGAAUGCGCAAAUAUCAGGAGGAACACCGGUGGCGAACGCGGUUCUCUGGGCCUGUUCUGACGCUGAGGAGCGAAAGCAUGGGGAGCGAACAGGAUUAGAUACCCUGGUAGUCCAUGCCGUAAACGUUGGGUGCUACGUGUGGGACUCAUUCCACGAGUUCCGUGCCGCAGCUAACGCAUUAAGCGCCCCGCCUGAGGAGUACGGAAU